CUUUAAUAAUUACUGCCGGUGUCUCGGUUAUAUCAAGGACGGGCCUUUCGAAGUAUUAAUUACUCAAUAUGUUAAUCAAUCGAAAUGCCAGCGGGCAGCAAAACAACUAUGGCGAGCUCUGAAUCAUCGAGAAAAGUAUAACGCUGAAAAUAUGACUAGGUCUACCAAGAAUUGGCUACAUUUACCAACAUUGUUCCAUCGUGGCGUAACAUUUAACAUAUCAACGUUUGAUGUAACAUGACAGUGAAGAAUAUGAGGGUGGUAUAAUUAGGUGGCAAUGUGCAUUAGGUGGAUGAGUGUCAGAGAAAAUGGUAGCCUAUAGUCGACCUGAGUUUUGAAUAGGCCAGUAAAAGGGUAAAAAAAAAAGACAAGUAUGUUCUUAACAGCAUUGUUGGUUAAGGGCUUGUGACUCCGAUCAGUGUCUCAUUGAUACAAAGGGCAAAGGUGUAAAGGGGUGUGUCUUUGCCACUAGGAUUUCACAGUCCUUUUCUACACACCCUUUAAUAAUAGUAAAAUCAUCAGUCAGAAGAGGACAAGCCAUCUGAGGCCUCCUAGCCAGCUGCUUAGACAGGGCCUCCUCUAGCUUUCAUUACCCCAUGUGGUUAGCCAUUCUUGCUGGCUGGGACUGAAAUCCAGAAAAGAUCCAGACAUGAUUACUGCUGCUUAUGUCAGAGGACAAGUCACUCUUCUCUGAUAAGGACAUACAUAAAGUUUUAUGAGUGGAGAUGUUUACGAGUUUCUUGUUAAAUUGUCUUUCAAUCCAUUCUCUUAAAUGUUUCAAUUCCACCUGUGUCUGCAUCUGAUGUUUCUCUAUUUGUUAAAUAGAGGCCAGAAAUAUAUUGAAUGUAAUAAAUGUAGAUACUAAGUAAGAA